rnacentral:rRNA from 1 species
CCUACGGGAGGCAGCAGUGAGGAAUAUUGGUCAAUGGGCGUAAGCCUGAACCAGCCAAGUCGCGUGAGGGAUGAAGGUUCUAUGGAUCGUAAACCUCUUUUAUAAGGGAAUAAAGUGUGGGACGUGUCCUGUUUUGUAUGUACUUUAUGAAUAAGGAUCGGCUAACUCCGUGCAGGCAGCCGCGGUAACACGGAGGGUCCGAGCGUUAUCCGGAUUGAUUGGGUUUAAAGGGUGCGUAGAUGGCCUUUUAAGUCAGGGGUGAAAGUUUGUGGCUCAACCAUAGAAUUGCUGUUGAAACUGGGAGGCUUGAGUAUGGUUGAGGCAGGCGGAAGGCGUGGUGUAGCGGUGAAAUGCUUAGAUAUCACGAAGAACCCCGAUUGCGAAGGCAGCCUGCCAAGCCAUGACUGACGCUGAUGCACGAAAGCGUGGGGAUCAAACAGGAUUAGAUACCCGAGUAGUC